UUACCCACUCCCGGCACGGGGAGGUAGUGACGAANNNUAACGAUACGGGACUCAUCCGAGGCCCCGUAAUCGGAAUGAGUACACUCUAAACCCUUUAACGAGGNNCAAUUGGAGGGCAAGUCUGGUGCCAGCAGCCGCGGUAAUUCCAGCUCCAAUAGCGUAUAUUAAAGUUGUUGCGGUUAAAAAGCUCGUAGUCGAAUUUGUGUCUCGCGCCGCCGGUUCAUCGUCCGCGGUGUUAACUGGCGUGCCGCGAGACGUCCUGCCGGUGGACCCGAGGCGGUUCGCGCCGCUGAGGUCCAACUCAAUCCUACCGCGGUGCUCUUCAUUGAGUGUCGAGGUAGGCCGGCANGUUUACUUUGAACAAAUUAGAGUGCUUAAAGCAGGCUAAAACUUCGCCUGAAUACUGUGUGCAUGGAAUAAUGGAAUAGGACCUCGGUUCUAUUUUGUUGGUUUUCGGAACCCCGAGGUAAUGAUUAAUAGGAACGGAUGGGGGCAUUCGUAUUGCGACGUUAGAGGUGAAAUUCUUGGAUCGUCGCAAGACGAACAGAAGCGAAAGCAUUUGCCAAAAACGCUUUCAUUGAUCAAGAACGAAAGUUAGAGGUUCGAAGGCGAUCAGAUACCGCCCUAGUUCUAACCAUAAACUAUGCCAGCUAGCCAUCCGUCGACGUUCCUCCGAUGACUCGACGGGCAGCUUCCGGGAAACCAAAGCUUUUGGGUUCCGGGGGAAGUAUGGUUGCAAAGCUGAAACUUAAAGGAAUUGACGGAAGGGCACCACCAGGAGUGGAGCCUGCGGCUUAAUUUGACUCAACACGGGAAACCUCACCAGGCCCGGACACCGGAAGGAUUGACAGAUUGAGAGCUCUUUCUUGAUUCGGUGGGUGGUGGUGCAUGGCCGUUCUUAGUUGGUGGAGCGAUUUGUCUGGUUAAUUCCGAUAACGAACGAGACUCUAGCCUGCUAACUAGGCGUAUUUUGACAUCCUAAAGGCCCGCCGGCUUGGGG
rnacentral:rRNA from 1 species